rnacentral:rRNA from 1 species
CCUACGGGUGGCAGCAGUGGGGAAUAUUGGACAAUGGGCGAAAGCCUGAUCCAGCCAUGCCGCGUGUGUGAAGAAGGCCUUCGGGUUGUAAAGCACUUUCAGUGGGGAAGAAAGCCUUGGGGCUAAUACCCUCGAGGAAGGACAUCACCCACAGAAGAAGCACCGGCUAACUCCGUGCCAGCAGCCGCGGUAAUACGGAGGGUGCGAGCGUUAAUCGGAAUUACUGGGCGUAAAGCGCGCGUAGGCGGUCUGAUAAGCCGGUUGUGAAAGCCCCGGGCUCAACCUGGGAACGGCAUCCGGAACUGUCAGGCUAGAGUGCAGGAGAGGAAGGUAGAAUUCCCGGUGUAGCGGUGAAAUGCGAGGAGAUCGGGAGGAAUACCAGUGGCGAAGGCGGCCUUCUGGACUGACACUGACGCUGAGGUGCGAAAGCGUGGGUAGCAAACAGGAUUAGAUACCCCAGUAGU